UCCAGCGUGGUCUAGUGGCAAGGAUAUCUGGCUUUCGCCCAGAAGGCCUGGGUUCGAUUCCCGGCGUCGGAG
rnacentral:tRNA from 1 species